rnacentral:rRNA from 1 species
UACGAAGGGGACUAGCGUUGUUCGGAUUCAUUGGGCGUAAAGGGUGCGUAGGCGGCGCGGUAAGUCGGGUGUGAAAUUUCGAGGCUUAACUUCGAAACUGCAUUCGAUACUGCCGUGCUAGAGGACUGGAGAGGAGACUGGAAUUUACGGUGUAGCGGUGAAAUGCGUAGAUAUCGCAAGAACACCAGUGGCGAAGGCGGCUCACUGGCCCGAUACUGACGCUGAGGCACGAAAGCGUGGGGAGCAAACAGG